rnacentral:rRNA from 1 species
AUUGAACGCUGGCGGCAGGCCUAACACAUGCAAGUCGAGCGGAUGAAGGGAGCUUGCUCCUGGAUUCAGCGGCGGACGGGUGAGUAAUGCCUAGGAAUCUGCCUGGUAGUGGGGGAGAACGUCCGGAAACGGGCGCUAAUACCGCAUACGUCCUGAGUGAGAAAGUGGGGGAUCUUCGGACCUCACGCUAUCAGAUGAGCCUAGGUCGGAUUAGCUAGUUGGUGGGGUAAAGGCCUACCAAGGCGACGAUCCGUAACUGGUCUGAGAGGAUGAUCAGUCACACUGGAACUGAGACACGGUCCAGACUCCUACGGGAGGCAGCAGUGGGGAAUAUUGGACAAUGGGCGAAAGCCUGAUCCAGCCAUGCCGCGUGUGUGAAGAAGGUCUUCGGAUUGUAAAGCACUUUAAGUUGGGAGGAAGGGCAGUAAGUUAAUACCUUGCUGUUUUGACGUUACCAACAGAAUAAGCACCGGCUAACUUCGUG